AUUGAACGCUGGCGGCAGGCCUAACACAUGCAAGUCGGUCGGAGCGGCGGACUGGUGAGUCAUUCCUAGGAAUCUGCCUGGUAGCGGGGGAUAACGUCCGGAAACGGGCGCUAAUACCCCAUAUUAUCAUAUCAGCCCAGGUCGGAUUAGCUAGUUGGUGGGGUAAAGGCCUACCAAGACGACGAUCCGUAGCUGGUCUGAGAGGAUGAUCAGACACACUGGAACUGAGACACGGUCCAGACUCCUACGGGAGGCAGCAGUGGGGAAUAUUGGACAAUGGGCGAAAGCCUGAUCCAGCCAUGCCGCGUGUGUGAAGAAGGUCUUCGGAUUGUAAAGCACUUUAAGUUGGGAGGCGUUACCAACAGAAUAAGCACCGGCUAACUUCGUGCCAGCAGCCGCGGUAAUAC
rnacentral:rRNA from 1 species